rnacentral:lncRNA from 1 species
UAUAUAAGCCAUUUUCGCAUGACUAUCCAAAAUUAUACAAAUCCAAAGGGUCCAUGACCCACAACAAAAAGGGUAGUCCUAUACAUGCCAUUUCGAAGUUCAACCAAAAUUGUACCAAAAGGGGGGGGCUUUGAUAGUGUGGGCGACUUCGACUUCAAAAUCCCGAGUCCGAUAGCUGAAGAACCAAAAUCUAUAAAACAGAGAAUCAAAGAAACGGAGUAAGC